GGCUACAGAGAGAGUGGUUAUUUCUCCUUCCUCCUGGAUCUAAUGUUUCCUUAGUUGGUCUUGCCCUGGCCUGACGACUGGUUUCCGCUCUCGGAUGAUCCGAAACUUGUGGCUUUUCAGAUAGGAGAGUCUUGGGUCUUUUCUCCUUAUUGGAUUCAUUUGAAAUUUGUGGAUCCUGCAGUUCUCAGGGAAAAGUUGUAGAUACUGUUUAUUCAAUCCUUUCUUAUUGAACCUUGAUGCAGCGAAGAAGCUGAACUUGAUCAGCCUCUGGUGCUAAUUUGGCAAUCUGCAUUUGCAAGUUUCUCAGAACUCUUUAUUGUUAUGCAUUCGCGUUAUUCCUUCUGCAAAUCUACUGCAAGACUAUCUGUAUUUGCAAGUUUCUCAGAACUCUUUAAUGCCACUGCAGAAGAAAGUCCGUUUAGUGGUAGGCGAAGCUUCAUUAAUGACAGUAGGAUCAAGCACCUGUUGGAGCAGCCAAGCUCAGAACCAUUUCAGUCUAGUUAACUCGGAGCAAUAGCAUAUCAACAAGAAGCUGCCUGGAGAAGUCACUGGUGCUUCUUCAUUAGUUUGGUCUGGAGUUAGCAUCAGAGCAGCACCAUGGGAGAUGAGCAACCAGAGCUAUAAAAGAAAAGGAGUACAAGUGUAAGAAUCCCAUAACCUGAGUGAGGGUGUCAUUUUAUGGAGCUUUUAUUACGUCCGGUGAACGUACGGAGAGCUACGUUCGGCCGGCACUAAGAUCGCAGGCACAAAAUGAGAAAUACCGAGCAAUACCAACAAUAACGAGAAAUAUCAUUAUGUGAAGACAAAAUACCGAGUAAUACCGAGCAAAAACUGAGUAACAAUCCUCUGACCGAACGUAGAGCUGCGGCCGGUCAGAGGAUGUAAUAAAAGUUCCAUUUUAUGGUGUGGUAGUUAGUGAUGGUAGUGUUGCAGCGGCUGAAGGCCAAUUGUACUAAUAAGAAUUUUAUGGUGUAUUUAAUCUCAUUCAAAUCCUUCAAUUAUAACUAACAUUAAAAUUACAUUAGAGGGGUCA